AACUCCAACUGUUGCUAUCUGCACUGGUGAUUUUUUUAUUAGAGUCUUUCUCUUCUGAAUCAUAUGCUAUACACCCAUUAAAUCUAUGGUCCUAAAGAGCCAAUUGGUUUUUCUGGGUAUAAGCACAACUCCAUUUGUACUCGCAAACUAAAAUGCGAUAUUGCAGUUUCCGGUUAGCUUUGUUGUAUUUACUGUUUAUUUACGUAGUGUUAUAGUGCUAACAUACAAGUGUACAUUUGUCCUUUUCAUACUCCUUUUAAAAAAAUUCAUUCUCUAACUCUUUACAUUUUAAGCAGUGAGUGUUGAACAAUAACAUGUUUAGCAUGCAGUAAUUCAUCCUGUAGGCGUGUGAUCACAUUCAGGAGUUAAUUUCUGUAAAAAAAAUAGAUAUAGAUUGUAAAGCUCAAUUUCACAUUUCCUGGUAAAAUCAUGAUAUGGGAUUCCACAAGCAAACCUGCAUGUUUCUAUUUUAGGUUAUGCUUCUCUCAUUGCUAAGUAUGAGCAGCUCAUUCUAAUGCCCAUGUUGUUUUGUUGAACUAGGAAAGUUGAGUUGCGACUUUAACUUUCCUAUAUAUGUGUUGUGUGCGUUUAUGAUAUUGUCAUUCUAAUGCCCAUGUUGUUUUGGGCCAACUGGGAAAGUACUGUUGCAACUUUAACUUUCCUAUUUAUAUGUAGUGCAUGCCAUGCUGUUGUUUUAUCUUCAACCAGGCUCUGAUUUUAUACAGCCUUAGGUUGGCUUGGCCUGGCCAGUUAUGCUCCAAAGGUUCAAUAAGUCAAGCAUCCUUUGCCUUAGAUGUUUCCAGAGCAAACUUAAGGAGUUGAUGGCUGGACUGAUCUCAAAAGCUCGCAUGACGUGGUACAUGGUUAAAGCCUAAAGAUUUUAUUUCACCCAUUUAAUUAUCUUCUAUGAAUAUAUCUAUGCAUUGUAUUUUUUUUCUUUCUCUGAACAAUCAUGGCAGUGUAUCUCCUCUGUGCAUUAUUUUUAUUGUUUCUUUGUGGAUGCAAGUGAGACUUGUUUCUCUGCUUCUAUAAUCUGGCAGGUGAAUUUUUGAUACAUUCCGUGGUUCUUCAGUGCGUCAAGUUGAAUUUAUCGGUUUGUCCACUAAAGAACUGGGUAAGUUCUUACUUUUCUUGACCGUAAUAUAUGUGGUUGAAAUAUAAUAAAUCCCGCUAUGUAUUAAUCAAGGAAGAGAUGUGUCUAGCAACUAUUUUCCCUGGCACACCCCUUAUAAUGGACGACAGUAAUAUGCUGUGUCUUUUAGCAUUGCAAGCAACUCUCCUGACUUUUUCAUCUUCCCUUGGUAGCUUCUGUAAACGUAGGCAGCACUCAGAACCAGGAAAGAAAGUAGCCGGACAGGAGUAGGUAGGGGAUUUAAUUUGGAGCAACUUAUUCAUUAAUUAAUCACUCUAUCUGUUAUACCUGGACAUGAUUUGACUCCUUAAAUUUCUUUUUUUUUCAUUUGUUACAUUCACUAUAUAUUAUAAAUGGUGCGCAGAAUAUUAUGAUAUAUGAACGCUUGAGUUCAAGUGAAUACUAACUGGAACAAUGGAACUGUUUGAGGUAUUUGUUAUGGUUGCUGAAUCCUUUCUUCCGUACUGGUCACCUUUAGUUACCUGUCAUGUAUAUUGCGUAGUUGGGUAGCAAUGCUUUGUAUUCAACCAAACAUGAGGAUGUUAUAGGUAGCAUGGAUUUUCUGCCAGACGUAUUAUAGAGAACUUUCUCUAGGUUGUCUUUAACUCUUGUCCUUUGGGACAGUUUUUAUUCUGGUGCACGGGAGAUUACAUUGCAAAUCUUCAUGAUCAAGGCAGGCACCUUCUUGUCAGUUAUUGAAACAUGGAAAACAAGCUUAUCGUGAUCAGGGCAUCUUCCUCCCAUUAAAUACGCUCUAGAUUCGAUCAUUCCGCUUGCAUAGCAAGUCCUUGCCCCUGCAUCUGACAGGCAAAAUGUACGCGUCUUUCCAGGAUCAUGAUUUGAUUGUCUCAAGUUAACAAUGUUAUCGAGACCAUAAAAGAGGUUCCGUUCAUCGGUUGAUUGAAUGCUGGGCCUGCCUGUCAAGGCAUGCUCUGUAAAGAUUAUCUAAUUUGACGAGGAGAAUGCUUGGAUCUUGAAAUAGCACAGGAGGGUUACAUUACAGUGAGAAAGGACGGUCUCGUAGCAUGUAAGCUUGUCAAUUUCUCCUCCC